AGAGUUUGAUCAUGGCUCAGAUUGAACGCUGGCGGCAGGCCUAACACAUGCAAGUCGAACGGUAGCACAGAGAGCUUGCUCUCGGGUGACGAGUGGCGGACGGGUGAGUAAUGUCUGGGAAACUGCCUGAUGGAGGGGGAUAACUACUGGAAACGGUAGCUAAUACCGCAUAACGUCGCAAGACCAAAGAGGGGGACCUUCGGGCCUCUUGCCAUCAGAUGUGCCCAGAUGGGAUUAGCUAGUAGGUGGGGUAACGGCUCACCUAGGCGACGAUCCCUAGCUGGUCUGAGAGGAUGACCAGCCACACUGGAACUGAGACACGGUCCAGACUCCUACGGGAGGCAGCAGUGGGGAAUAUUGCACAAUGGGCGCAAGCCUGAUGCAGCCAUGCCGCGUGUAUGAAGAAGGCCUUCGGGUUGUAAAGUACUUUCAGCGGGGAGGAAGGUGUUGUGGUUAAUAACCACAGCAAUUGACGUUACCCGCAGAAGAAGCACCGGCUAACUCCGUGCCAGCAGCCGCGGUAAUACGGAGGGUGCAAGCGUUAAUCGGAAUUACUGGGCGUAAAGCGCACGCAGGCGGUCUGUCAAGUCGGAUGUGAAAUCCCCGGGCUCAACCUGGGAACUGCAUUCGAAACUGGCAGGCUAGAGUCUUGUAGAGGGGGGUAGAAUUCCAGGUGUAGCGGUGAAAUGCGUAGAGAUCUGGAGGAAUACCGGUGGCGAAGGCGGCCCCCUGGACAAAGACUGACGCUCAGGUGCGAAAGCGUGGGGAGCAAACAGGAUUAGAUACCCUGGUAGUCCACGCCGUAAACGAUGUCGAUUUGGAGGUUGUGCCCUUGAGGCGUGGCUUCCGGAGCUAACGCGUUAAAUCGACCGCCUGGGGAGUACGGCCGCAAGGUUAAAACUCAAAUGAAUUGACGGGGGCCCGCACAAGCGGUGGAGCAUGUGGUUUAAUUCGAUGCAACGCGAAGAACCUUACCUGGUCUUGACAUCCACAGAACUUUCCAGAGAUGGAUUGGUGCCUUCGGGAACUGUGAGACAGGUGCUGCAUGGCUGUCGUCAGCUCGUGUUGUGAAAUGUUGGGUUAAGUCCCGCAACGAGCGCAACCCUUAUCCUUUGUUGCCAGCGGUCCGGCCGGGAACUCAAAGGAGACUGCCAGUGAUAAACUGGAGGAAGGUGGGGAUGACGUCAAGUCAUCAUGGCCCUUACGACCAGGGCUACACACGUGCUACAAUGGCGCAUACAAAGAGAAGCGACCUCGCGAGAGCAAGCGGACCUCAUAAAGUGCGUCGUAGUCCGGAUUGGAGUCUGCAACUCGACUCCAUGAAGUCGGAAUCGCUAGUAAUCGUAGAUCAGAAUGCUACGGUGAAUACGUUCCCGGGCCUUGUACACACCGCCCGUCACACCAUGGGAGUGGGUUGCAAAAGAAGUAGGUAGCUUAACCUUCGGGAGGGCGCUUACCACUUUGUGAUUCAUGACUGGGGUGAAGUCGUAACAAGGUAACCGUAGGGGAACCUGCGGUUGGAUCACCUCCUUA
rnacentral:rRNA from 1 species